rnacentral:rRNA from 1 species
AUUGAACGCUGGCGGCAUGCCUUACACAUGCAAGUCGAACGGCAGCGGGGACUUCGGUCCGCCGGCGAGUGGCGAACGGGUGAGUAACGUAUCGGAACGUACCUUUCAGUGGGGGAUAACGUAGCGAAAGUUACGCUAAUACCGCAUAUUCUGUGAGCAGGAAAGCAGGGGAUCGCAAGACCUUGCGCUGAUUGAGCGGCCGAUAUCAGAUUAGCUAGUUGGUGAGGUAAAGGCUCACCAAGGCGACGAUCUGUAGCGGGUCUGAGAGGAUGAUCCGCCACACUGGAACUGAGACACGGUCCAGACUCCUACGGGAGGCAGCAGUGGGGAAUUUUGGACAAUGGGGGCAACCCUGAUCCAGCCAUGCCGCGUGAGUGAAGAAGGCC